GGAUUCAUCAUUGCAAGCCCGCUGACCUUUGACAAUAGGUAGCCCUUUUCGAUGUACCUGACUAAAUUCACUUUUUUUUUUAACAAUAAAUACGGGAUAAUAGUGAAUUAGAUAGGAAUGAUUCAUCAGGACUCAAGGUUGCUACUAGACUUAGUAACAUAAUGUUGAACCUAAUCCUUAGAAGUGCAGACCAUGUGUGUUGUGAAAUUCCAAAGUAAAAAUUAUCUUACAACUCGCUAAAAGAAUUUUUAAUAAAAAGAACUCAAAUUGACUUACUCCU
rnacentral:lncRNA from 1 species